GUCCAAUCAGAGCCUCGUAAACGCCGUGCAGCAGCGUCGAGUGUCCCGCAGACAGGAAGCGGGUCGUGUUUAGCUUGUCCCGUACGAGUGACUCUGUCUUCGGGGUAAAUAACUUGCUGAAGUCGACACGACACUGUUCCCUGGAGGAGAAGAUGAGUGCGUGUGGAGGCAGAGCCGCGGGCCCGGUGUGGACGAGUCGAGGCGGAGAAGACGGAAGCACAGUCCCUGAGUUACGCCUCAGCCCCCCCCCCCUCCACACACACACACACACACACAAACAAAGAGGCGUUAGGCUGAGACGCUGAAAGUCCGGAUUUAAAGUGCAGAAAAUUAAGCCAUUGAAUCUGCCUGUCCAUGACGUACAAAGACACACUAUGAGCCAGUAUGAUCCGACCAGACCUUACAUCAGCAUUGAGGAGUUGUCGGAGAAGAAAGAGGCUGAUUGAAGCGGGACAGAUGACAUGGAUCCAUCCUUCCACAGCCAGGAGUGCACCGACCUGUGUCCCACACUUCAUAUAAGACUGGAAGCUACACUGGAUCUCACAGCUACACACCACAGACGUCUACACACUGGAGAAGAGUCCCACAAAGAAGUCAUGACCCAGAGGCUGCAGAGAAACAUUUCAAGCCUCAUCUGAGUUUUUGUACAAUAUUUUUGCUGUAUGUAAAUAAAGCUUUCACUCCACAUA